GGUCAAAAAACAUAUGUUUAUAAUAAGGAUAAAAAUGUCAAAGAAUCAAAAAUUGCAUCCUGUUUAAUAUCAAUUCUCUUAAAAUAAUGGUCCAACCGACCACACUUUUAUCAGUUAAAUAUUAGUAAUAAAACUUUACGACUCAACCAAUCAUAAUUAGAUCAUCUUGGCUUACUAGUUUUACCCGUAAUACUAUCACUUCAAUCAAUCCAGACUAAAACUUAUUAUUUUAAUUGUAAGCAUAGAAGCAAAAUGUAUUUCCAGGCUAUACUGGCCGGCUUACGGUCACUGUAAGUAGGUUAUUUUGGAGAGCUGCAGGAAGGUCUGUCAAAAUCACUACCCAGACCUGCAAAUAGAACAAGCGAUCACAAUCAAAUAAAACAGAGGGGAUAUUUACAUAAAACAUGCAACAACUUAUAUUUAGGGAGCAAGUUCGGAUACACGAAAGGAAUGAAACAAUUUUUUUAUAAACACACAAUAAGAGCUACCAUGUUUCUGAUGCUAUUGGGACGGAUGCAAUGAGCGUAAAUACAAUACCCAAAAAAUAAAGCAGAUCAAUAUGCUCAAGUUUGAAGGAAUUAGAAGCAUAGUUUAAGAUACAUAAACUCAUAUGCUACACGGUGGGAGACUGUAUAUCUUUUCUGACAAUGGCUACAACUACCAAAAAGAAAUGGUAGGAUUUCCAAUAUUUGAAAUAGUCACACUUAUAGAUAGAUCGUUUACAAGGAGGAUGGCAAUAUAGAUAGAACCACACUUACAAAGAGGACGAGGAAUGGAUCAGAACAUAUGCAAAGCAUUUAAUAGUUCAGCAAGUCCAUGUUGGUCCAAGAUGAAUAAAAUAGCCAGCAGUAAAAUUAUAUUUAUCAGUUUAGCGAUUACAAAUUUGGGAUUUUUAUGUGUUCUUGGGAUUUAGGUAAUUUGUAGGUGAUUCAGGGGCAUCUGAUGAUUUGGGAAUUACGUGUCAAUUGAGAAUAAGUUUGGAUCAUGUAAAAAUUGCAAAUAUUCCCUUUUCUUAUCACCCACUCCGUUUCACAAAGAGUGCCAUUUAUACUUUUUAAAAUUUAAUCGUCCCACAAAGAGUGCCAAUUUGACUUUUUUCUAAGUUACUUCGCUAAAUCCCAGAAUUUUGAAGCUAUAUGAUUCAAGCUUGCUUUUGUAAUAACUAAUAAGUAGUAGAUUUAAUGGAGUUUACAAAUCUUAGGAUUGUAUUAAUACAGUCAAAUGAAUUUAUAUCAAAUUUUCAAAUUUGAUACGUGAAUUUAUAUCAAUUAUGAUUUUAGGAUUUUAAAUUAACUUCAUCAAGCCAUAACGGAACGUUUUUGUCUGAUGGAGCAAGCAUUAUUAAUUUAAAAUUAUACUAGAGUUUCACAAGAACAUACCACAUUUAUCAAUCAACAGCUCGCGAUUUGUGAUCACAGCCAGGCUGUCUCUUCCAAAUUUUUGCACCAACUGCAUAGAUACAGUAAAAUUAUAAUAAGGAAAAGGUAAGAAAUGCAUGUAUUGAUUUCUGCUUGAACUUAGAUGUAGAAAAAAGAGUAAUAAAUAUCAUAUUUAAAGCAGCAACUAUAAAUUAAUAGCAAAGAAUUUACAAAGGAAACACGUGAACUCUCGUAAAAUUCAUAGAGAAGGACGUAUCAUUCAUCUGAUUGAAAUACAAAAGCUUGAAAAACAAAUCCUCAAGUCAACAACCUGCUAAAAGCAUAAAAAUUCUAUGUCGACAGAUUAUAUGGACAUAAUACUCAAAUGUAAGAAUUGAUUCCCAAUAUUACCACCAUUCAACACAUGGUCCUAUGAGUGGUUUCAACAUCUGCACCCCAUUUUUUAAGUUGAAGUAACCCAUUCCAAACUCGAAUGCAAACUCUCACGCUUAAAGACAUCUAGCGCUUGACCAGAUAAUGCUACUACAAAUGAUCUUUUGAUUCACGGACACUAUGCCUACUUAUCAAAGAUCUAAACAAUAUCAUAAGUCACGUAGUAAAAGAUUUGCAGUUUGACAAAAAAUAUUCAGUGAUGAACUGCGGGUUUAAGUUUUUAUUAGAUAUUUUACAAUUUGUACAGUUGAAACAUCGGCACAGCAUUACUAUAAAGAGGAUAUUUACUUCUUCAAAUUUUUGUAAGUGAAGCUUGCACUGAAAUUGUGUGGGCCUGUAACGCCUUCCUUUAGGAACGCUUGAAGGCUUGUCAGGAUCAACAUAGGCACCUAAGCAGAAACCAAAACAAAAAGUAAAGUCAAACACAACAUUAAUCUUGUCACAAGAAAGAAAUGUUGUAGACAUGAACCACCUUUUACCAAACGAGUUAUAAUAUCUGUAAAUAGAAUAACUUGAUCCUAAAUUUGGGACCAUUUAAAACGUGCAAAUUUGUCCUUUUUAUUACUUCCUCACUUCAUCAAAGAGUCCUAUUUUGCCUUUUGAAGUCGACAAAUCUCUAUCACAAGUUCACAACCUCUGGAAAGUACGGGACUGUUUGUAUUGACAUGUUUAAAUUAUUAAAAAGAAAGUCGAUAUUAUGUGAUUAUCAUAAUAUUAUGAUUAAAUUAAAGAAUGAGAUGAUCUAGAUUUGGAAGGAUUACCAACCAAGAUUAUUAUAAGGACAUUUUCAAUUCAUCAUGGAUAAACCAAUUAAAUUAAUUGCGUUUUGCAAUACAAUACUCUAGAUUUGGACUACAAAAGCACUUUUUCUUAGUUGUGGAAUUCUUAGUGAAGUUCAACAUUUUAAAGUUAUCAGAUUAACAAUGAAAGUAUUCUUACUAAACUGAUUGAACUUCAAUAGAGUAUUUUAAUACAAGAAAAACAUAGUCGACAGACUAAAACAAAAAACUUUUGUAAUUAUUUCAAUUUAAUAAUUUUGAAAAAUUAAGACUGCAUCAAGUAAAAUAAAACGAAUUUAUAUCAAUCUAAAAUUUUAGCACUAUACAACUUGACUUAAAUAAGUCAAAACACGACUGUUUUUGUGGUACGGAGGUAGUUAUAUUUUUAAAUUUUACAGUUUCAAAACAACAUACCACAUUCAUCAAUCAACAACUCGCGAAUUGUGGUCGAUGCCAUGCUGUCUCUUCCAUAUGUUAGUAGUAACUGUAUGAAAAAAGUAAAAUUACUGUAAAGAAAAUGAAAGAAAAACUUUUAUUUUUUUCUACUUGAGCUUUCAUGUAGAAAAAAGAAAAGUAAUUCAUCACAGAAGAAACUAUAAAUUAAGAGCAAAGAUUUUGCAAAGGUAUAUAUUUCAUAUAUAGUCUUGUAAAAUUUAUAGAGAAAGACACUUCACUUAUUUGAAACAAACACAAAAUCGUGAAAAACAACAUAGAUAAGAUGACUCAAAUUGUUCUUAAAGGGAUGUCUAUUAACAAAACUAAUUUAAACUUGGGCAGAUACCCAAUAGCUGGCUUGAUAAGUCCGUCACAAUAAACAUUUGAUUUAAUAGUUCUCAAAUGAAAACCAAAUCAAUUGGAGAUUAACUGCUCUUAUCUCCAUUAAAGGGUCCUAGGAAAAAUCACCUGCUAAAAGCAUAAAAAUCCCAUGCCAAGAGAGUUUAUUGGCAUAGAUACCUAAAUAUACGAAUCAAUUCCCACAAUUAUACCACCAUUCACACAUGAUCAUAUCAUUAACAUGUACAUUAAUACCUUAGUCUUUAAUUUGAGGUAGCUUGUCCCAAAGUAAAAUACCUUGGGAGUAAUACCUAGACCAUUUUGACCAGAUUAUGACUCAUGGUUCAAAGUUGUGGCAGCGGUCUAUGUUUCGGAAAGUUAUUUUUUGACUCGGAAUUGGUUUCGGUAUCAGUUUCGGGCAAUAUGCACUGUUAGCUAGUGAGGAGCUUAAAGUAAAAAAAAUCCAAAUAAUAAGAAUAACAAGAUGAAUCAAUUAAGUUUACAAAAAACAUUAUGUAGUGCAUAUAAGACUGCCCAAAUGACAAAACAGACAUCUCGCAAAUAUGUUUAAUCAAUUUUACAUUUGAAUAAAGUUGAUAUUGAUGUUGUCUUAGCUCAAAUGGUUGAGCACACAUGUUCUGUAUAUUUAAGUACAAUUUAACUUUACUAAGUAUAUUUGAAGUGCAAUUUUUUUUCAAGUUGUGCAUAACUAAGUACUAUAUAGGUACAAUUUAAUGAGAAUUUAAGUGCAAUUUAGCUCAACUAAUUAUAUAUCAAGUACAUUUUUCUAAAUUUAUUUUUUAAAGUAAUACUUUAUUAGGUGCUAGAUAGAUACGCCAUGAUUUCUCCUUUAUUUAGUCCGAAACCGCUACGCCGUGAUUUCUCCUUUAUCUGGAUUAAAACUGCUACGUUACACCGAGUUGUUGAAAUUCUGCCGAAAAUUAAUAAUUCCUAAUUUUGUGAUUCGUGUCAAAGUUGCAGUUGGACGCCAACCGAUACGCUGAUAAGUUGAUACUUUGAACCAUGUCUCAAUUCAUGGACACUAUGCCUCAUUAUUUAAGAAUUAAACAAUACUGUAAACCGCACUGUAAAAUAAAUUAGCAACAUAUGCAGUUUGCUUACGAGAUUUGAUGAUGAGCUAGAGGUUUAAGAUUUUUUAAAUAAUUUAUGAUUAUGACUAGUUGAAACAAUUGGUAAAGCAUCAUUAAAAAGAGUAGGGUUGUAAAUGUUAAUCGAAAAAUAGGAUAUUAGUUCGUGAUCAUAUUCGUUUAAAGCAUAUAUUAUUCGUAUUUGACAUAAAAAGAUAUUAUUCGUAUUCAAUUAGAGAUAUUCAGAAAUAAACGGAUACGAAUAUAAAUAUAUGUAUAUUCAUAUCUGUUUAACAUCUAUCUGCCAACAUAUUUAUCGAAUAACAGAUAUCAGAUACUCGGUAUCAGAAUUCCGAGCAAAGAAUGGGUCUUAUUAUAAAAUUAUAAUAUUUUUUUAAUAUCUUUUAUAAAGAAAUUUUAUUAAAUAGAGUGAUUAACUUUUUUUCCAUCUGAAUUUUAUAAUUAAAUCAUAUGGUUGUUUAGUGUGCUAUGUUAUAUUAAUAUCAUUAUAGUAAUUUUUUAAAUUUUUAAUUAUUUAUUUACUAAUUUUAAUUAAUUAUGGCAAUAAAUUAGGAUAGUUAUUCGGAAACGGAUAAUAUUUGAAUUUGAAUAGUUUUUCGAAUAUCGACUUCGAAUGGUACCUAAAGAAAUCUACGGAUAAAUUUUUUUUCCGGAUACGGAUAUCACUGUAUUCGGUCCGAAUAUGUUCGUUUACAGCCCUAAAGAAGAGGAUAUUUACUUCUUCAUAUUUUUCGAAGUGACUCUCGCAAUCACGUCGGGAAUAUUUUUCACGUUGAUCUUGAGGAACUCUUGAAGGUACGUCGGGAUCAACAUAGGCACCUAUGCAGAAACCAAAGCAAUAAAGUAAGUCAAAUACAACAUUUAUCUGUUACAAGAAUAAUAUAGACAUGAACCACCUUUACAACACACGUUAAAAUAAUUGUAAAUAGAAUAACUUGACCCAACAAAUGCCAAUGAUAUAUAUAUAUAAUGUGAAACGGCCCUUCAUUGAGAUUUUAGUAAUGGUGAAAUUUGAUAUAGAAUACAAUUGUUUCAAAAUACAAUACUGGAACUUGAUCAAAUUUGCUUACUACCAUCAAAUACUUGAUACAAUUCUAAACAAAAUAGCAUAGCAAAAAAUGUGUACUCCCCGUAUCAUAACCCCGGUUCCAUUCCGAUAUUUAUUGACAAAUAUAUUUAACCAAACUUAUAUGUUAUAGCAUUAAAAAGAGAAAUAAUUACAGCAGGGACAUUCGUUGCCAAACAUUAUGUGCAGGUUAGAGCUCCACACCAUAUCAUAAAAAUAAUAAGUGUAAAACAAUAGCAAAGUAAAAGGAAUAAGUAAUAACAGGGUAAUGUAUAACAACCAAAAGCCAUUAUUACUAAUUUGUGUCGAAUAGGCCCAUUUUGCUUGAACUGCAACUGUUUCGAAAUUAAAUCCAUAAAUUAUGAAGGUUCAAAAAAAUUGGUGAUGUUCAAACCCUAUAUCAUUUGAGGUGUAGGUUUGGCUUUCCCUUAGGUUUUACCCGACGUGGGAGUGUUGAUGAAACCUAAAAAUAAGUCUUCCAAAAGUUACAAUGCAACAUUAGUUUCAGAAAUGUAAUUUGUUCAUGUAACUUAUAAAAAAUUUAAGGGGUUGUUUGAUUAAACUAAAUGAAACAGUUCUGAAUGUUUAACCAAUCUGAAUGAGCUGAAUGAAACAAAAUUUUGAAUACUGAAUGAAAAAAGUUGUUUGAUAAUUGAUAUGUAUGAAAUAUUUGAAUAACAAUUUUUACUAUUUUACACCUCUGAAGUAAGUUGAACAAGUAUACAAGUACAAAUGUACUAAAAAAUAAGUUUAAUACAAUAUUUAUUACUAACUAUAAAGAAAUGUUGACUAUACCUCAAGUAGCAAACAAAGUAACACUCUAAAAAAAAUCAAAAAAAUAAGGUUAGCUAAAAUCCCUCCCUUUGUUUCACCGCGAAGAAAUUUCCAAAUAACUUUAUUCUUUCUCCUCCAUCGACCACUUUUCUCUUCUUGAUCAUUUUAGGCUGUAUUUUUAGAGAGAGAAACCUAAAGAAUAGAAUCGUUUGAAUCAAACAAGAGAGAGAAAUCAGUAAUUAGUUUUCCCCAUAAUUGCCUAUUUGUCUCUCCCUGUUUUUUGAUCCCCCACUGAUCAAAAUCUGAGUGAAACAAUCAAAUAGUGAAGGAAUUGAGAGAAAUCAGGUAAUCCCGCAAUUGGGUUGGUCUAAGCGUUCAUGUAUCAUGCAUGUCUGCGAUUUAUUUAAGGGAUUAAUCUAUGUAUGAUUCAAUCCUUCACCCCCUCUUUCUUCCUCAGUCUUUUCAUGGGAUCUUCUUCAACUCCGUGCACCCAUCAGGAUCAAUUGGAGUGAAAGAGCAGCAACUUGUGUAAAGAAUCCAUUUAGUGGGCUUAGGGUUGAUUCAGAUAAAAAAUGGUAGCUUAUUCGGUCUGUUAGUUGGGCUUACCGAUUCAGCCAUUAAGAUCAUUUUUAUUCAAACCAAACGGACUGAAUGACAGACCGAUUCAGACCAUAAGUCAUUUAGAUGCAUUAAGUCGUAAACAAACAGCCCCUAAGUUGGCCUCCUUAACAAACAAAGAUAAAAUCAAGUUUACUCACGUCUCUGUGAAAUGUUAUAGAUUAGUCAAAAAAUUGACCAAUCACUCCCGUCCUCCCCCCUCCCUCCCUCCUCCCUCCUCCCUCCCUCCCUCCCUCCCUCACCCUAAUCAACUUCCCCCUUCCACUCUCACACACACACAAGCACGCACACAAACAACAAAAAAGAAAAAGUAAAGUGAUGUGACCUUCCCCCUCAAUUCAUUGUUAUAUCACAUAAUGUCAUUUUUGAAAGGUCUAAACAUGAGAUUAAAAAAAAUAAAAUAGAUACCUAUUUUUAUCUUCUUUUUUGAAAUUUCUUCAAAUAGACAGAUUAAUUAACUAUACGGGACAUGUCACAAAAUAAUUUGUGAGGUCACGCAAGCCAACUAUACAUGCAAAUACGUGUUGCUAUAUAUAAUAUAUAGUAUACUGGAAACAAAAAAAUAGCAAAAACAUGUCCGCAAAGAAUUGAAACUUUAAACUCAUGAGCUCGAGAGAAGCCUCAACACGUGUACUGAAGACAGGUUCAGUGAACAGGACAUCUACAAUCUACAAGUUCAUAACGUGACACAAAGAUUGCAACAGAUUCUAUUUUAGGGAGCUAAGUGUGGUAAAGAAAAGAAGAUGAGAACAAUCAUAUGAACCAAAAAGUAACAUGUUUCUGAUGCUAUUGUGAUGGCAUGAAGACUGAAUGUCAUCUACUCCACUUCAUACAAAACCAAAUGCAAUACCCAAACACCUUAACCCUUGCAAUACCCAAACACCUUAACCCUAACGCAAUAAAAACACCUUGAUCGAUAUGCUCAAACAGUCUCUGUUAGUGGAAAAGAGCUAUUAGUUUUUUUUACUAUACACUGAGAGUCUCAGAACAACAUACCACAUUCAUCAAUCAAUAACUCGCGAAUUGUGGUCGAAGCCAAGUGGUCUCUUCCAUACUUUUGCACCAACUGCAUAAAUAAAGUAAAACUAAAUAAAGAAAAGAAAGGAAUACAAGUAUUUCUAUCUGCAUGAGCUUUCAAGUAGAAAAAAGGAAUAUCAAAUUGAACAAUGAAGAAGCAACUAUAAAUUACGAGAAAAUAUUUUACAAAGGAAACAUAUGAACCCUCUUAAGUUUUAUAGAGAAAGACAUCAUAUAUAUCACAAAAGCUUGAAAACCAGCAACCAUCAGAAAAAUCAAUUUGUGCUUAAAAGAACUAACUUAAACUAGAUCAGAUAUCCAAUAGCUAGCUUGACAAGUGUUGCCACUAUAAACGUGUCAUUUUUAAUAUAUCUCACACAUAAACCAAUCAAAAUUGGAGAUUAUUAUUAACAACUCUUAUUUCCAAUAAAGGACCCCACAAGAAGUCACCUGCUAAAAGCAUAAAUCAUACGCUGGCAGAGUUUACUGAUAUAGAUACCCAAACAUAAGAAUCGAUACCCAAUAAUACCACCAUUCACACAUGAUCCUAAGAGUGACUUGUACUUUAAUACACUAUUUCUUUAAGUUGAAGUAGCCCGUCCCAAACCCAAAUGCACACUCUCAUGCUUAAAACCUAGACUUUUAGAAUGCGACUACAAAUUAUCUCAAUUCAUGGAUGCUAGUUUACUUAUUCAAGAUCUAAAUAAUAUCAUAAAUCACACAGUAAAAGACAUAAACGAGAUUGCAGUUUCCUUGAAAAAAGAUUUGUUAAAGAUAUAAAGGUUUAAGAUUUUUUAAAUAAUUUAAGAUUAUGUAAAGUUGAAACAUCGGUAUAGCCUUAUGUAAGUAGAUAUUUACUUUUUCAUAAUGUUGUAAGUGAUGCUCGCAUUCAUGCUCUGUAGAGUUGUAAUACUGACGAAUGCUGGCACCUUUGCAGAAACCAAAAUAAUAAAUAAAGUCAAACACAACAUCUAUCUGUAACAAAAAAGAAAUGCAACUGACAUGAACCGCCUUUAUCAAACAAGUUAUACUAAGAGUUCAUCCAGUUCAUGUGGUUCCAGGAUGAUUAAAAUAGUCAGUAGUAGAUUUUUAAUCUCCACACAGACAUCAAGCAAGAGAUGUAAUUUUAAUACCCAAAUUACUAAAUCAUACAACAAAAAUACUAUCAAUUUUAUGUGUUAUAACCAUUGAAAGGAUACAUAGACAAGAGAAGAAACUGUAUCUUUCCUCAUCGCAACAUAAACUCGCUAAACUGAAUUUUUCCUCAUCCCAGCAUAAUAAAUGCAACACCUCAAAAUAAAAGGGAAAGAGGGAAAUUAAGGAGCACCGUUGGUAGCAGGCUUAGACAGAUAAUACCACCGAGAAGGGUUCUGAGGCUUGCCUUCACAUGCAUACAAGACAACAAAGUAACCAGAACAAAAAUUAGUAAUUGGAACAACCUGUGGGAAGAAAAAGAAUCAACUCUGCAAUCCAAAAUCAUAUAAUUUUGUUCCAAAACUAAUGAUAAUGAAUGCACAUGAAAUUUAGUGUCAGGGACGUGUUGAUUUCUGAGAUGGGAAAUUAAAAAAAAAUCAAAAAGAGUUAUGCUAAUAUCAAGCAUCACUUUUUCCCUCGGAUCCACCAAUUCCCUUAGAUCAAAAUUGAAGAAUAUAGAGGUAGAAGCCGGAGGAUAUACAAAGCAAAGCAUAGUAUCAUUAAUUAAUUAAAAUAUAGUUAAAAAGGUAAAGUCUUUGCUAACUGGUGUAAUCCGAGUUGGAGCUCCAAGAAUGAGAGUGACCGGAACCUGAUCUCCGACCACGAACCAUGUUCAGAUCGAAUCUGAUAGAUAUAAAUUAAUUAGAGGAGGAGGGAGGAGAAGGUCAACUGAUACCCUAUCUUCUUGAUAUAAUUUAUAUUUUAAAAUAGUUAUAACUUAAUAGGACUUUUUUCGUAUACAUGACAUUUG
rnacentral:lncRNA from 1 species